AACGAACGCUGGCGGCGUGCCUCAGACAUGCAAGUCGAACGAUUAAGACUUCCUUCGGGAAGUGCAUAAAGUGGCGCACGGUGAGUAACACGUAAGUAAUCUACCCUCGAGUGGGGAAUAACAGUCGGAAACGACUGCUAAUACCGCAUAAUGCAGCGGCACCGCAAGGUGACAGUUGUUAAAGGAGCAAUCCGCUUGAGGAGGAGCUUGCGGCAGAUUAGCUAGUUGGUAAGGUAACGGCUUACCAAGGCUACGAUCUGUAUCCGGUCUAAGAGGACGGUCGGACACACUGACACUGAAUAACGGGUCAGACUCCUACGGGAGGCAGCAGUCGGGAAUUUUGAGCAAUGGGCGAAAGCCUGACCCAGCAACGCCGCGUGAAGGAUGAAGUAUUUCGGUAUGUAAACUUCGAAAGAAUAGGAAGAAUAAAUGACGGUACUAUUUAUAAGCUCUGGCUAACUACGUGCCAGCCGCCGCAGUAAGAC
rnacentral:rRNA from 1 species